CACACAGGCACACGCUCACACACCACAUGUUGUGCUCUUCCUGCCAGGCUCCAGUCCCCCUUUCUCAUUAGUUUCCUACUGGCAGAAUCGUUUAGGUUUCCCUCUUUAUUGCCUGGACUCUGUGGAACCACACCUGUCUGAGGGAGAACAUUCUCAUUACGUGCAGGGCCAUGGGGCUCAUGGUGCUAAUAACACAAAUCCAAGGUCACACACACACCCUCAUGCCACAGGGCGGGCAUGUGACAUCUGAGAGGGAGCCCUCCUGUGGACUGUGGCCUGGAGACCACGUGCCAGUCUCAAGGGGCAGCUGCUCCAGUCUCCAGCUGAUGGUUGCCACAUGGGAAGGCAUAUGACAGUGUCGCCAAAUGUCCCAACAUGUCGAGAGACUCCAGAAAGCCACAUUGUCAGUGAGACCUCCUGGUUAACAAACUGGACUCUGCGCCAGUGUCUCUCCUCCCUCAUUGCCCUCCAUCCCUCUGUGACCUCCGCCCAGAGAUGGCUAGGGGUGCACUGUGACACCGAGGCUGACUGCGUGCACUGUGACACUGAGGCUGACUGCGUGCACUGUGACACCUGAGGCUGACUGCGUGCACUGUGACACCGAGGCUGACUGCGUGCACUGUGACACCGAGGCUGACUGCGUGCACUGUGACACCGAGGCUGACUGCGUGCACUGUGACACCUGAGGCUGACUGCGUGCACUGUGACACCGAGGCUGACUGCGUGCACUGUGACACCUGAGGCUGACUGCGUGCACUGUGACACCGAGGCUGACUGCGUGCACUGUGACUCCCAGGUGUCCUUCCCUCUACUUGCCCUUGGGUUUGUCUGAUGACGGCACCAGCAGACAAUAAGUGGCUGAUCCGGGGUCAGAUGUGCAUUGAAGUCGUCAGCGUGUGGUACUGACGGAAGCUGUGGGUGUGACUGAGGCCUCUCAGGAGGGACUGGGCAGUGAGGGGACAAUAGGCACUGAACACUGGGGAGAGCAGUGUGGCUCCUCCCAGAUCGUCCCCAGGCCUGAGGCUGCAGGGCCUCCAGGCAUGUGACCCGUGCAGGCUCUGCCCAGAGAUGUGACAUGCUCAUACCCAUGCAGGGCACAGCGGCUCCUGGAGUUGAAGGCGCUGUGGACACCUGAGUGAGACCGGUUAGAAAUGCCUGCCCUGCCUGGAUCAUGCCACCACAUCAAGUGUGACCCUGAACCUGAUCAUCUCCGUUCUCCCUGGGGUGUUGUCCCCUGGGUCCUUGUCACCAGCAGCAUCAGCCUUGCCGGGGCUCAUUGGAAUACAGAACCUCAGGCUGGCCCCUGGACCUACUGGAUCAGAACCUGCAUUCUGAAAAGGUCCUGGUGAGUCACAGGCAGAGGAAAGCCUCAGGAGCACUCCCUGCGUGCAUCACAGAAGCCCCGCUCACCCUGAGGCCUCGGUGUGGGCUGUGGUGCCCACAGCUCCAGCUCUCUAGGAACCAAUUAGAACUCCUGGUCAAAGAUGUGGAAGGAACGGACUCUUCCUCCAGAAUCCCCGUGAGAGAGACAAGGAAUGGGCAUUAAACCAAGCUAAGGGGAGGGGGCCGUAACGAGGCUCUGGGAGCUCCUGGGAAACGGUGACCAGUGACCAGCUCAGUGAGGCUAGGACCCUCGCUGGCGAGAUGGGAGGAGUUUUCCUCUUGAAGAAUCUGGCCAGGCUGUGAAAGAAGCCCAAUGGACAUGGACAUGAGGGGUUUCCCAAGAGAAUGCCCUAACAAGGGUGCAUCACAGAGGGCACAUGGGACCUGAGCACGGAGCUUCCAACAAGCUUUUCCUUCCUGCGAUUUGAAGUCAGCACCCCCAGACAGAGGAAAAUACGGAACGUGACAGUAGCAGACAUGGUCCUAUGAAGAGAGAAGAAAAUGUCAAAAUCACAACUGUGAGCGUCCUCAAGGGGUGAAAGAGGACACUCCAGCAGAUAACAAGGAUAGGAUGCUAUUAAAAAGAGCAUGAAAAUGUGAUUAAAAACACAGAAGUCAUAAAAACUGUGGACUCGGAAGUAAGCAAAUGUCCCCGAACAGAGAGCAGGAGAGGUGUGGUGUCCUCGAUGCCCACAGCUCGGUUGUCCUCCGGGCUCUGCCUUCGCCACCAUCUGCCAUGUUGGUCUUCUCUGUCCCUGAUGGACCUCUGGCUCUGUGGGCCCCUUCUGCUCAGAUCACAGUGUGCAGUGCCCUCCAGGCGGUACCUCCCCCUCACCCUGGGGCCUCCUGUUCCCUGAACUCUUCCCUCCCACGUUAGAACCACUGUGUCCUUGGUGACAGCCCGGGGCUCUCAGAUGUUUGGAUCUAAGGGAAAAACUACUCCCUGGACCCUCCACAGGAAGGCUCCUCUUGGAUAACAAAGAGAAGCUGCCGUGGCCGCGCCCAGUGCCAGGCUGGGGUCCAGGGCCUUUGGUCUGGGGAGUGCGGGGUCCACGGCUGGCCUCUCUGAGUCUCCUGGGAGAGACUGCCCGGUGGAAUCUUGUGGCCAGUGUUGUUGGCCGGGCCUGCAUGCUAAGCUGCCCAGCACCGGGGUGGGAAUGUGGCUGCUGUGUGAUUUCUGCAGAGCAAAGAAGUACAGAAACAGCCUCCGUGAAUAAUUUAGUGUAAGACCUCCAGUUAGCCACGGGGUUCCACCAGGAUUCAAGUAAAUUAAAGGCAAUUUCCUCCAACUUUCAUUCUCAAAGUUGUCCACAGGGAGGGGUCCACUGGCAUUCAAAUGCAGCAGCAGGAGGAGAGAGAGAGAAAGGGAGAAAAAGACAGAGAGGGAGGCAGAGAGGGACAGACAUGGAGAGGAGAGAGAGGUGUUUUCCAGCUGCUUGCUCCUUCCACAAUUUCUGGGUUCACCUGAUCUGAUUGUUGUGUGUUCCCCGUCUCCCCACCUAGCAAAUCAGCAGACCUACUGACUGUCAAGGUUUUACUGAAAAUGUCCUUGUGCCGGCAGCAUCGCCCUGGUAGGCCAGUGAAUGGAGCCAGUACACACCUCUCUUUCCCUGCCUGCUGUUGACGAUCUCCUCCGCCCCCAGAGCCUGGAGGCCCGUUUCCUCCUCAUCUUGCCCAUCGGAGAAGAUCCACUCUGCUGCUCCAGGCAGACUUCUGGGCGUCCCUGGGACUCUGUCCAGCUGUGCAUCCUUCCUCUCCUGGCCAGAACGCAGGUCCCUCAGGAUGGCCCUGGCCCUGUGUCCACUGCCGUUCCUCCACGUCUGCCAUGCUGCUUGGCACACGGUAGGCGCUCGGGAGAGGCUGUCUGAGACCACAAGCAGAGAGGGAGAUCCGUGUUCAGAGAGGCUGUUUGUCACCAGUGGGGGUCGGCGUGGUCAGGACGGGCCGGCAGAGGACCUGCAGGACUGGACAGAGCGGACGGGUGUGGACAGCUCUCCUCCCCUCUGCUCAGGGUGCAUCGUAGUGCAGGCCGGCGUCCCGGGUGUGCUGCUCUCGCCUGUGGCCGGAGGGGGUGGGUUUGUGGGCCUGGAGGAGCUGGCGGGAGGCCCCAGUCUGGGUGGGACGAGCCCGGCAGGGCAAGACCAGAGUGGGUGGAGUUGGGGACUGGAGGGCUCCCUGCAUCCAGCCCUCUGCGUGCUCUCUGCCGGCAUCGGGGUGCACAAGCCCACCAGCUCCCCAGACACACAGGAGCACGCGUGUACACACUCAGACACACACACAGACACACAGGAGCACGCAUAUACACACACAGGCACACAUACAGACACACAGGAGCACAUGCACACAACCAUACACACAGGAGCACAUGUGUGCAUGUACGCACACACACUACAAAGACACAGGGGCACAUGCAUACACAUACACACACAUUCAGCAGCACAUUUGUCCACAUGUGCAUGGGAGCAUGCGUGCACACACAGGAGCACAUGUGCAUGCACACACAGGAGCUUGUGUGUACACACACAGGAGCACAGGUAUGUGCACACACGCGGGAGAACACACACACACAGUGCUGGAACACCAUCACCAGUGUGCUGUCUGCUCCCCCCCGUUGGAAGGCGCUGCCCGAGUUGUCCCACACCUCCCCCAUCAGCACACUUCGAGAAGCGGGUCCUGACCAGCUCCAGUCCAUUGCGGGAAGCAGCCCUCAGACACGGGGACAGCUGCGGGCUCAUGGUCCUGAGAACCUGGCUCUCCUGCCACUGGGAGGGCUCACGGAGGACGCCUGGAACCCCCUCCGUCACCUCUUCAGACAGUCAGGAGCCUGCUUUCCCCAAAACUGGAAGGUUGGAGCCAUAGGAAAUGUCCCCAUCAUAUCAGAAAACUGAGGACUCUGCAGAAUGUUCUGGAACCUUCAGUGAGUGGGAGCUGCUGAUGCUGGUGACGGAGACUGGACAGGCUGUGAGGGGAGCAUGGGGACCUAGAGAAGCUUUGGGGACACAUCGGCACAUUUACAAUUUGUGCCUAAAUUUGCUCCUCCUUGGAGACCUGGCCAGGCUCAGAGCGAUCAACAGACAGGACGCCUGUCGCCAGUCAGUCAAUCGCUUGAUCGCUGGAUGAGUCAGUGGAUCAAUGCGCCGACUGCCCUCUGAACCGAGGGUGUGUUUCCUGGGAUGGGAAGAUGGUGAGGAGGCCCGACGCGCCCUGUGCGCUCAGCGCCCUGCUCCCCCAGCCAGCGGCGGCCUGGUGAGCAGGUGGGAGCUGUGGGGGGGCAUCUGGGACCUGCUGCCCCCGGGGUUGCUGACCUGCAGGGCUCCUUUGUGAGGGGGAGAAAAUGCUCCCAGGAGGAGGAGGCCUCCUCAGGGCCCAGGCUGGCAUUUUGCCAGUGCGAGGUGUCUGGACGGAAACCUCUAGAGGGGAACUUCCCAGGUCAAAGGGCGUCUGCACACAGGGAUUAUCACAAAAGUGCCCCCGGGGGUUCCACCCACAGCCUUCCUCAGAGUCUGGGUUAGCGGAGCAGGCCCCUGGUCCUUGGAAUGAGAAACCCCAACUGAGUCGCCCCAUCCCUGCAUCUGGGGUGCGGCCUGUGGGAGGGGCUGGCGGGCAGCUGCGGGGUCCCUGGGGUCUGGCUGUUUCUCAGUCCCCUCCUCAUGCCCCCCACUGUCUGCCCCCCCUGAGGGCCUGGCCGCGAGGUGAAGGGUCCAGGGGUCACUUGAAGGGAGGGGCUGCAGCUGGGCCAUCCCAGGGGAGGGGGCCGAUUAUGAAAGGCCCUCAGAGAGCCACACAAGGCAGCCUUGUUGGGUAUGAGCUCCCCCCAAGCUCGGGCUUUCCUCCCCCGUGAGCAGGAAGGGGCGACCCAGACCGAGGUCAGAUGGCCUGCACUGUGUGGGGUCCCUGUGGUCUAUUUCCAGCUCCAGCCUCUGGCCCUGCACACACAGGGGCAUUAAAGGAAGCUGCUUGUAGCAUGAGACAUCCGCCCUGUGGUCCUUCCUGCAGCUGUGUCCUCACUAAGGGAAGGUGACCGAGCCCAGAGUGGGAGGGGUCGGAGGGCCCAGCUGUGAGUGUGGACCAGGCUGAGGCCUCAUCACCAGCCAGGAGGCUCCCUGGAGACCCUGGGGCCAGAAUGACCUCCCUCUACAACCUUCCCUGGCUCCCCAUUGCUGUGCAGGGGAGUCCAUGCUCCUCACCCAAGGUCCCCAUCAUAACCUCCAUCAGACGCGCCCCCACUCCUCCUGGGCUUCACCCUUGACCCCCACCCUCUGUCUCUGGGUUGAGACCAGGAGCCGCCCCAGGGCAGGGUCAGGAGUGACACCCUCUGAGCCUGGGUGUCCACAAGACUCUGCAGGCUGCACGUUCAGCAAACAUGGGCCCAGGGGUGCGCAGGGCGAGACGGCAAUGACACCUGACCCCAGCACACAGUGAGCCGGACGCCAUUGCAGCUGAGAGGUCAGAGUGCCUGGACCAUCGGGAUGUGGUGGAUGUCGGCUGGCCCUGAAGGUCAGCAGAGCACAGCCCAGGAGCAGACCCUGCCCCAAUGGCCCAAGUCUCACCCCCUCCAGGUGCCAGCAGGGUAGCCGGCCGGUCCCCAUGGCCUCUCUGGACCUGGCUUCCUCGUCUGGGCCGUGGGGAUGGAGUCGCAGCAGGCUGGCCUGGCACGGUUGUUUUGAGUAUGACUGAGCGAGCCCCUGGGACGCACGGCCCUCCUGUCACUAGAAGCUCCACGUGGUGCCAGGACUUCCCUUCCGGGAUCAGUAAGAGUAAUGACAAAUGCUCCCGCCUCCUCCCAGGGAGCAAACGAUCUCCAGGUCAUAAAGGGCAAGAGCAACAGGCCACACUCUGCGAAGACGACGCCUCCGAGAUCUAAAUCCACACUAUGGACAGUGGCCUCCGGGGUGUUGCCAUCCAGUCUCGGGAAUGAGAAGGAAGCCUCCAGACUCCGCGUGCAAACUCAGGAGGAGCAUCUCUGUGGCUUCAGCGGCUGAAGCACCCCUGCCUGAAAGCUCCCUGGUGUCAGACGCCCCGUGAGGGGAGGCGGGGACAGAGCCCACCCCUCUCGGGGUCUCUGGAAAGAGCAUCAUCUGCGGGAGCAUCCGCCAGCCCUGCCUCCGUGUCCUCCCUCCUGCUCCAGGGGCGACCCUCCUGGGAGCCUCACAGGGAAGGGCCAUGGCCAAAAUGAGGGAGGGGCCCAGGUGCCAGGUGUCUCCGCAGAGCCUGUCCCGGCGGAGGCCGCACCCCCCACCCCUGCCCUGAGACCACGGUAGUCACAGUGACCAUGGAUCCUCGCAGCUGCUGCCUCCAUCAGGGUCGGUGCGGGAACAAAGCACCCAGGGAUGCAGGUGGGGUGGGGCUUAAUGCAGGGAAUUGGGUGCUCACAGAGCUGGGGGGCAGGCUGAAGGAGUGGGGUGCCGGCUGAGCCCACAGGGACUACUCGGGGUCACGGCAGACCUGACGCCAGGGAGCCCCCUCUCCCAGGGCUGGAAUUAAAUGCAGACCCUCCUAGACCAGUGGGGUGGGCCCAGCCUUCUCCCUUCAUCUCCACCUGCUACCUGUUCUGAGCACUGUCCGUGUCCCUGAGUCACCUGGUGCAAGGAGGCCCCUGAGACAGACCCCGGACGAGGACGCCUCUGAGUCCAGCACGGUUGCCGGGACCGCUCCUCACAGGAGGCAGAACACGGGCCCUUCUCCUCCCCCCACAGCAGACCCCGAGAGCGGGGCGCCCUGAGGACCGGCUGGCCAGGCCCCUCCCUGGGGAAAGUGACCAGAGGUGAGGGGGGCCUUGGCUGAGAGGUGCAGUGGGAGAGACAGGGAUGUCAUGGGCUCAGAUACCAGCACGUGGCCGGGGUAGAGGGACAGCCUGCAGGGGCAGUGACAGAGCCAGCUAAGUGAAGCAGGACUGAGUUAAUGAGUCAGGAGCAACACUCCAAAGAUUCACAGAAAUAGUUUGGGGGAGGCUGAGGCACAAAGGGAAAUGUAUUGGAAAACUUAGUAUUCACCAGCUUCAGGCACAGUUUAAUCCAGCAGCUAGAACACUGGCAGCUGGGCCUGACCUCUCUUUAUCUCGUGGCUCAGGUAUCCCACGUCCAUGUCCCUCCCAGGCAGCAUCUCCUCAGCGUUACAUCCACUGAAACAAAUUCUCUUGUCCAAGCAGGUCCAGCAGACGGCCCACCCCUGAACCAUUCACUGUGGCCAAAGGAGCAGAAUGUUCUAGUCUGAAUAGGCCUGAGUCACAUGACCACACCAGGGCUGGGGGUGGAGUCUGGCCCUUGCAGACCACACACUCAGAGUUGGGGGUGGGACCCUAGGGAGCCAGGUGCUGUUGCCUCAAGAAGGAGCCCACUCCCUCAGCUGCUCUCCAGGGUUCCAGGGAGCUGUCACCCUGGGUUUUACCAAUUCCUCCUGCAGAAGCCGUGGCUGCCGCCCCCCAGGGCCCAAGAUGCCCUUUGAGCUUUCUCUCCUCAAGAGCCUGCGGCUCCAAAGGAAGAUGAUGCCAGACACGGCGCAUGGACGCACUACAGAUGCCCCCAUGGGGAGGAGAGCUGAGCUCACCUCCACUUCACGUGCAGGUCACUGCCCCCCACGUCCUGGGCCUGGGCCCCGUUUGUCUCCGGUCCCCGGGCUGCUCCAGCUCCUCUCAAGGAGCCAGGAGGAGAGGCUCAGCCCAGGACGCUUGCUGACUAAGGAGGCUGCGCUGUGCUGAGCUGUUUCAGGCCAGCUCCUGGGCUGCUGUGGGAUUCCUAGUCUGGAGGAGGAAAGGGUUAACUUUGUGGCAGCACAGGGAAGUUCUGGGAUCCACGAUGUUUUCCAAUUCUGUGUUUCUUCUGGUCAUUAAUUGGAUAGAAGUUGUUAAACUUGAUGAGGAAGCCAGAGAGAACGCAGGUUGACUGAAUCUCUGGGAGAUUAAGUUAAUUUUUCUCCUCCAAGAACUGCCGGAAGCUUCCACGUCGGUGCUGCUGAAAGAGAAAGGAACAGAAUGGUUCAGACAGGAUUGUCUCUUGUCUUCUGACGCCUGCAUUGUGGACGCAGUGGGCCUGUCUGCUCAGAGUGGGGGCUCCGGGGUCAGCCUGGCGGGGACCCCAGCUCGGGGACACAGGCCGUGUGGCCUUGGGCAGGUCCAAGCCUCAGUUUCCACUCGGGAGAAUGGGGUUGAGGACAGGGCGUGCUCUCCAGGGGCUCUGUGGGGAUCCAGGAGACGAUGCCCUGGGAGCAUGUGGCACCGGGGCCUGGCACAUCCCCAACCUGCUCUUGUCCCAGAAAUGACCUGGUGACAGAUCACCACUUUCCUAUUGAUGUGGCAUCAAUUCUUCCCACUGCCCUUCUGAUAAAGUCCUAAAUGUUUAACACACUGUGAAGACUCCCCAAAACAAGGCUAAAGACGUGCUGGGGGAACCAAACGUGGGAGGAUGAAAACAUCCAGGGGUCAGGAGGGCGCUUGUGUCUGGGGCUGGGAAAACCACCGUGCCUGGGGGAAACCAGAACCGGCUCCUGAGGUUAUUUUCGGCUGAGGAAUUGUUUUCAGCUUCAGCUGCACAUGGGUCCCCCUUCAGGUCAGACUGGCCCCUAGGAGCCUGCAUCUGGCCUGUGGGGUGGUCUCCUGACCCUGCAGGACCUGCCCCCACACCCGUAUCCCCUCUCCGUGCACCCGUGUCUCCGCCCCAGGAACCCCUCCUUCUCCUGCAAGCUGGCGCUCCCCCAGCCCCCCAGCCCCUCCCUUCCCUGGAAUGUUCCCCCUCCCCGAAGCCCCUUCCGUGGGCGAGUCCUGGGGGGCCCUGCCGCCCACUGCAGGCUCCCUGCCCUCUAACCAGCGCCCUUCACACUGUCUGCUCUGGGCCUCCACGGGACCGAGCGUCUGUCUCCCUCACAGGCUCAUCUCACAGCUGCAGGUCCAGGUUCUAGCUGAAAUUUAAAUAUGCUGGUGAAGAAUGUAAUACGGAAUUCCUCGUAUAUUGGUAAUAUUGACAUUUUAGAUAAAACUACUACAUCUCUCUCCUCAGUGUAUCCAGUGAGAUGCUGAGAACAUAGGGAUGGGCCAUCCAUUUAAAAUGACAUCAUCUGGUUAAAAUGACAGAACGGAAAUCGUGUUGUUCUUUCUUCUCCUCCCACUCACAUUUCACUGCCUCCCUCUUCUCGCCCCAGCGCCCUGCUGCUUGAGAC
ensembl:lncRNA